UACGUAGGGUGCGAGCGUUAAUCGGAAUUACUGGGCGUAAAGCGUGCGCAGGCGGUUUGUUAAGUCCGCUGUGAAAUCCCCGAGCUCAACUUGGGAAUUGCAGUGGAUACUGGCAAGCUGGAGUAUGGUAGAGGAAGGUGGAAUUCCCGGUGUAGCAGUGAAAUGCGUAGAGAUCGGGAGGAGCACCAGUGGCGAAGGCGGCUACCUGGACCAGCAUUGACACUCAAGCACGAAAGCGUGGGGAGCAAACAGG
rnacentral:rRNA from 1 species